CCCCAGGAACAGAGUCGGCCUCGCAGGAAAGACAGGGCUAGGGUUGGCCGCCGCCGCCAGCUCCGGCGACCGUUCUCGCCCGCCGCCGCCAGAUCCGGCGACUGUCCUAGCCCGCCCAGGUUGAAUAUAUUGUGGACCCAAGGAAUACUGUCUCCUGUGUCAUUGCCCAUUUACAAAAGGAAGUGCUAUUAGUGCUGCAGAGAUGCCGGGAGAGGGCGGGAAAGAAAUACAAUCAUUUGAAGUUCAAACGACAGGGUCCGAAGCACCUUAAAGAUUUACAUGUAAUAUUUGACAAAGUACAUGUCACAGGGGCUAGUGCUUCUUGUCCUGGAGAUAUAUCUUCUGAUGAAUCAAGUGAUGAUAAUGCGGUUCCUUUGGAGAAACCCGGUGAUAGUGUUGAAAUGAAGUUGGCAUCUUUGAAGAAACCAAAAGCAAGCAAGAAGCGCAAGCAACCUUCAAUCAAAAAUGAGGAGAAGGAAGAGAAGAGUCCUUCUUACGAUUGUAAGACCAGACAUGUGAGAAGAUAGAAAGUGGAGUGGAGAAGAUAAUUAUGGGGUCAAUAUCUAUUUAUAUGUAAUAUGUAGUAUGCAACUUGAAACUAUAAUCGUUGAAUUCGUAUGUGUUAGCUGUGAAUCA